rnacentral:rRNA from 1 species
UACGUAGGCAGAGAGCGUUGUUCGGAGUUACUGGGCGGAAAGGGUGUGUAGGCGGCCUUCUAAGUUUGGUGUGAAAUCUCCCGGCUCAACUGGGAGGGUGCGCCGAAUACUGAAGGGCUAGAGUGCGGGAGAGGAGAGUGGAAUUCCUGGUGUAGCGGUGAAAUGCGUAGAUAUCAGGAGGAACACCGGUGGUGUAGACGGCUCUCUGGACCGUAACUGACGCUGAGACACGAAAUCGUGGGUAGCAAACAGG